AGUUUGAUCCUGGCUCAGAUUGAACGCUGGCGGCAGGCCUAACACAUGCAAGUCGAGCGGAUGAGAAGAGCUUGCUCUUCGAGUUAGCGGCGGACGGGUGAGUAAUGCCUAGGAAUCUGCCUGGUAGUGGGGGACAACGUUUCGAAAGGAACGCUAAUACCGCAUACGUCCUACGGGAGAAAGCAGGGGACCUUCGGGCCUUGCGCUAUCAGAUGAGCCUAGGUCGGAUUAGCUAGUUGGUGAGGUAAUGGCUCACCAAGGCGACGAUCCGUAACUGGUCUGAGAGGAUGAUCAGUCACACUGGAACUGAGACACGGUCCAGACUCCUACGGGAGGCAGCAGUGGGGAAUAUUGGACAAUGGGCGAAAGCCUGAUCCAGCCAUGCCGCGUGUGUGAAGAAGGUCUUCGGAUUGUAAAGCACUUUAAGUUGGGAGGAAGGGCAGUAAGCGAAUACCUUGCUGUUUUGACGUUACCGACAGAAUAAGCACCGGCUAACUCUGUGCCAGCAGCCGCGGUAAUACAGAGGGUGCAAGCGUUAAUCGGAAUUACUGGGCGUAAAGCGCGCGUAGGUGGUUCGUUAAGUUGAAUGUGAAAGCCCCGGGCUCAACCUGGGAACUGCAUCCAAAACUGGCGAGCUAGAGUAGGGCAGAGGGUGGUGGAAUUU
rnacentral:rRNA from 1 species